UCGGAUUGCAGGCUGCAACCCGCCCUGCAUGAAGUUGGAAUUGCUAGUAAUCGCGGAUCAGCAUGCCGCGGUGAAUACGUUCCCUGGCCUUGUACACACCGCCCGUCACACCAUGGGAGUCGGUAACACCCGAAGUCGGUAGCCUAACCGUAAGGAGGGCGCCGCCGAAGGUGGGAUUGAUGACUGGGGUGAAGUCGUAACAAGGUACC
rnacentral:rRNA from 1 species